CCCUGCACAGCUUCUUUACCUGUCCCAAAUGGCACCCUGUCCCCUACAUCAGGGUAGACAGUCCUGGAGACAACAGGUACUGUUUACAUCAGGUUAGACAGCUCUGGUCCUGGAGACCACAGGUACUGUUUACAUCAGGGUAGACAGCCCUGGUCCUGGAGGUCUCAGGUACUGUUUACAUCAGGGUAGACAGCCCUGGUCCUGGAGGUCUCAGGUACUGUUUACAUCAGGGUAGACAGCCCUGGUCCUGGAGGUCUCAGGUACUGUUUACAUCAGGGUAGACAGUCCUGGCCCUGGAGGUACUGUUUACAUCAGGGUAGACAGCCCUGGUCCUGGAGGUCUCAAGUACUGUUUACAUCAGGGUAGACAGUCCUGGAGGUCUCAGGUACUGUUUACAUCAGGGUAGACAGCCCUGGUCCUGGAGGUCUCAGGUACUGUUUACAUCAGGGUAGACAGUCCUGGAGGUCUCAGGUACUGUUUACAUCAGGGUAGACAGUCCUGGUCCUGGAGGUCUCAGGUACUGUUUACAUCAGGGUAGACAGCCCUGGUCCUGGAGGUCUCAGGUACUGUUUACAUCAGGGUAGACAGUCCUGGCCCUGGCGGUACUGUUUACAUCAGGGUAGACAGCCCUGGUCCUGGAGGUCUCAGGUACUGUUUACAUCAGGGUAGACAGCCCUGGUCCUGGAGGUCUCAGGUACUGUUUACAUCAGGGUAGACAGUCCUGGAGGUCUCAGGUACUGUUUACAUCAGGGUAGACAGUCCUGGUCCUGGAGGUCUCAGGUACUGUUUACAUCAGGGUAGACAGUCCUGGUCCUGGAGGUCUCAGGUACUGUUUACAUCAGGGUAGACAGUCCUGGAGGUCUCAGGUACUGUUUACAUCAGGGUAGACAGUCCUGGUCCUGGAGGUACUGUUUACAUCAGGGUAGACAGCCCUGGCCCUGGAGGUCUCAGGUACUGGUACUCUCCGCCUCCCCUCUCCCUCCUCCCUCCUCUCUCCCUCCUUCCUCCUCAUCCCUCUCCUCCCUCCUCCUUCCUCUCCUCCCUCCUCCUUCCUCCUUCCUCUCCC